ACCAUGUUCCAGCAUGCUCUACCCACCAUGUUAAGUACUGGUGGGACAUUCACUAAUCUUAAAACUCUUGUAUUUUAUUUCCUUGGGACAUCCUACAUAUGUGCCAAAAAGUUCUUUCCACUAAACCCUUGGGGAUUAUGCAAAAGCAGUAGGACUGAGUCCUACGGCCUUUGGGGCAAUCCUUUGACUAAAAUACUCAGAGCACCUUGACAAGUAUUGGCAAUACAUGGAUCUGCUGCACCUCAUGGUUAAACAGAUGAGCUCCUGUAUUAAGUCAUUUCCUUGGAUACAGGAAAUCUAAGGUAGAGUAAGCCGUAUCUGAGGCAAACUAGCAAAUCAUAAUUGAAUCUAGUUCAUGACCAUGACACUGGAAUACUUAGAAACUAAAUUGGGAAACUACUAGGAUAAUAGUUGAAUCAAAACUCUUCUGAGUUUCCACCAAAAACUUAGUUUUAUUUGUUUUACUUAUGAAACAGUAAACCAGGUCCUAGUUUUAUUAUCUGCCCUUCAUCAAGACUGAGUGCCUGAGCAAUAGUGCCUGACUUUAAAAGUAGCCAUUGUGACAUGUACAAAUUUGUCGCGUGAUACCAACUUUUUAUAAAUACCUGGAUGAGACAAGGGUCUAGGAUCAGGACAAGUCAUGGGCAUCAAAUGCAAGGGACAAACUUUGCUUUGAGCUGUGAUGUAUAAAUCAGGGUCAUCGUCCUCUGUGUCAGGAGAAAAGCAGCAUUGUAACAUCUGAAUGGGUAAGAUAAGGAUCAAGUUCAAGAGACCUUCUUUCCUGGAAGCAUUUUGGCUCUGGGUAGACACGAGCACCACCAGCUCUUUGAGGGAGAUACAUUUGCAACGUGAGAGGGGAAGAUCAGGAGUUGCAGAAAGGCAACUGAGCUCCCCAGGCAGGACAGCUCUGCUGAGUCGUGAAAGACAAGGGCAGCUAACUCCUGCUGAGCUUGUGACCAUGCUGGCAACAUAUUUUCUCCAGAGCUGGAUGGGAACAGUGAACUAAGAUAAAAUUCUAAGCUAAUUGGAUCAGGCUCUAAAAAUCACUAAUAAAGCACAGUGCGCAGCCUCUUAUUGGAUUAUU
rnacentral:lncRNA from 1 species